UACAGAGAGUGCAAACGUUGUUCGGAAUUACUGGGCUUGAAGCGCACGUAGGCGGCGUUGUAAGUGUCGGGUGAAAUCCCACGGCUCACCCGUGGAACUGCCCGGCAUACUGCGAUGCUAGAGUGUGGUAGGGGAGAGCGGAACUCCUGGGUGGAGCGGGUGAAAUGCGUAGAUAUCAGGAGGAACACCAAUGGCGAAGGCAGCUCUCUGGGACGGUACUGACACUGAGACGCGAAAGCGUGGGGAGCGAACAGG
rnacentral:rRNA from 1 species